AAUAUUAUGCCUAAAAGAUGAAGAGAAAUGAGGUGCCUUCUGCCACCCAGUCCACUUGAUAACGCUGAGGAGAGGAGCAAGUAGCCCUGUCCUGACAUUGACCCUGAUUUGCCCCUCUUCUUAUAAGAAUCCCAACUUCAGAAGCAUUGAUGGCAUCCAUCCCAGUGAGGAUGCCGCCUCUGACCUUGAUGGUAUCACUGACUCUGGCAAUACAGGGUCACCCAGCCACUCUUCUUUUCAGGUCCAGUUCCAAUUUUAACCAGUUUAGAGAGGAGCCCUCCCAUCCCUACCCUUAUGAGGUCUCAGGCAGUGGUGACAGACUUUUCUCCAGCAUUCUUUUUCCUGUGCCUUCCUUGGGAUUUGAGCCAAUUUCAGCUGGUAGGGUCCCUGAGUCACUUGUGAUAUCUCCACCAAGGUCCUGAUAACUGAGCAGGGUGGAUCCUUUCCCGGAGCUACUAGAGCAGCUAACCUCCUUUGUUGCACCUCUGCACCAAGAACUCUAAGCAUCAGUCUCAUUCCUAUGCCAGCACACCUUUCUAGGGCUGGUCUCACCUUCUUCUGGUGUCCAUGCACUUGACCGUGUCAGCCUUAUUCUAUGCCACCAUGAGUCAACCCUGCAAAGUAUGGAUGCUUUUGAGAUAUAAGGGUAGUUCUCCCACCUUUGGAUUCUCCCUGGACUGCACCACAGCACAGCACCCCUUAGCAUUAGCUGAAGUUCACAUAUCCGUGCCUGCUUGCCUUCAUCCUUUUUACCAUGUCUUAUGCAGACUGACCAUCAUAUAUUUUGUGCUUAAAACAGGGGCGUGAAACAUGUGAUAGGGAGAUUAUACUUUUCCAGACCCUUUUUACCACUCAUGCCUCUUCACACUGCCUGUUUGGUAUCCUCUCCACACCAUUUAUUUUCCUGUUCACUCAAGGUCAGAGCCCCGUAACUCCUCAAACCUCUCUCCUGACUGGGAGAAGGGCUAAAGAAUGUCAGUAAAUAAAAGAGCUUUUGUCCAA